UACGUAGGUGGCGAGCGUUAUCCGGAAUUAUUGGGCGUAAAGAGGGAGCAGGCGGCACUAAGGGUCUGUGGUGAAAGAUCGAAGCUUAACUUCGGUAAGCCAUGGAAACCGUAGAGCUAGAGUGUGUGAGAGGAUCGUGGAAUUCCAUGUGUAGCGGUGAAAUGCGUAGAUAUAUGGAGGAACACCAGUGGCGAAGGCGACGAUCUGGCGCAUAACUGACGCUCAGUCCCGAAAGCGUGGGGAGCAAAUAGGAUUAGAUACCCUAGUAGUCCACGCCGUAAACGAUGAGUACUAAGUGUUGGGUGUCAAAGCUCAGUGCUGCAGUUAACGCAAUAAGUACUCCGCCUGAGUAGUACGUUCGCAAGAAUGAA
rnacentral:rRNA from 1 species